AGAGUGACAGAGAGAGAGAGAGAGCCAAUUCCACUGUCUGCAUGUUGGCGUCUUGUACUAGCGAGCUUUUGACGCUCAGCUGCGCCAUAUUGUACUAGUCAGCUUUUUGUCGUUCAGUCUUCGCUCCGUGUGCUGCGCCGCUGGGCUGCGCAGCUGCUGUCCCAAGCAACGAGACGUGCAAUUUGUUUACAAUAAACAGAAGAAUUACACAUAAAGACUACUAAUUUUGUAUAUGCCUAGAAGCUGCUUCAUUUAUUAUGGCUCAUUUCAUAAAGAAAAUGUUGCAAACAAAAGUUACCACCAAAUAAACACACACACACACACACACACACGCACACAUACACAGACAAAGUGAUCAUAAAAAAUAAAAAAAAAAUACAAACAAAAACUAGAUACAGAAAUAAAACAAACUAACAAACUUUGAACCAAGAACAUCGAAUUAAAUUGUAAAUUGUAGUUUCAACAUACAAGAGGCAAAACAGCUAUGAAAACUAAAUAUACAUAGUAUAUAUACAUACACACAUACAUGAUUACAUACAUGCAUAUGUGUAUAUACAUAUAUGUGUGUGUGUGUGUGUGUGUGUCUGUGUGUGUGUGUGUGUGUGAAAACAACGGCAUGCAAAGCUAUGCAGAUGCAUUAAGUGCCAAGGGCUAUCGCAGCUUUGGCUUUGAUACUGACGUUGAAAUGGACAUGGACCCAGACAUGGGCUUGAGCAUACG